CCCCUAGAUGUUCUGGGCCGCACGCGCGCUACACUGAACAGUUCAACAAGUCUUAACCUUGGCCGAUAGGUCUGGGUAAUCUUUGAGCGCUGUUCGUGACUGGGAUAGACCUUUGCAAUUAUGGGUCUUCAACGAGGAAUUCCUAGUAAACGCAAGUCAUCAGCUUGCAUUGAUUACGUCCCUGCCCUUUGUACACACCGCCCGUCGCACCUACCGAUUGAAUGGUCCGGUGAAAUCUCGGGACGGCGGCUUGGUCGCUUGCGUCCGACUGCUGAAACUUGAUUAAACCAUAUCAUUUAGAGGAAGGUGAAGUCGUAACA
rnacentral:rRNA from 1 species